UGAUGUGUGUGGUAAAGUUUUUUCGGCCAGGGAUGUGCUCGCGGCCUAUCAGCUUGUUGGUGGGUAAUGGCCUACCAAGGCUUCGACGGUAGCCGGCCUGAGAGGGUGACCGGCCACACUGGGACUGAGACACGGCCCAGACUCCUACGGGAGGCAGCAGUGGGGAAUAUUGGACAAUGGGCGGAAGCCUGAUCCAGCAACGCCGCGUGAGGGAUGACGGCCUUCGGGUUGUAAACCUCUUUCAGUACCGACGAAGCGCCGAUGAUGGUGGUGACGGUAGGUACAGAAGAAGCACCGGCCAACUACGUG
rnacentral:rRNA from 1 species